rnacentral:rRNA from 1 species
GCAGAGCAAUAAGGAACACGUGUGUUCCGAUGAGAGUAUGCGUCGAAUAAGCAUCGGCUAACUCCGUGCCAGCAGCCGCGGUAAUACGGAGGAUGCGAGCGUUAUCCGGAUUUAUUGGGUUUAAAGGGUGCGAAGGCUGUUGGAUAAGUCAGCGGUGAAAUCACCACGCUUAACGUGUUGUGUGCCGUUGAAACUGUCCAGCUUGAAUGCGCUCGUCGUGAGAGGAAUGUGUGGUGUAGCGGUGAAAUGCAUAGAUAUCACACAGAACACCGAUUGCGAAGGCAUCUCACGAGAGCGUUAUUGACGCUGAUGCACGAAAGCGCGGGUAUCGAACAGGAUUAGAUACCCUGGUAGUCCGCGCUGUAAACGAUGAUGACUAACCGUUGGUCUGGUAUGGAUCAGUGGUCAAGCGAAAGCGUUAAGUCAUCCACCUGGGGGAGUACGGCCGCAAGGCUGAAACUCAAAGGAAUUGGACGGGGGGGCCCGCACAA